rnacentral:tRNA from 1 species
UUCUUAUUAGCUUAAUGGUAGAGCAUGGUACUUCUAACACCACGAUCUGAGUUCGAAUCUUAGAUAGGAAA